AGAGUUGAUCCUGGCUCAGAAUGAACGCUGGCGGCGUGCUUAACACAUGCAGUCGCACGAGAACACCUCAGCUUGCUGGGGUAAGUAAAGUGGCGCACGGGUGAGUAACGCGUGGGUAAUCUGCCCCUGAAUCUGGGAUAAUGCUGCGAAAGCGGUGCUAAUAUCGGAUGACAUCGAAUUGACUUCGGUUGAUUGGAUCAAAGGUAGCCACUCCAUGGAAGCUACUGUUUGGGGAUGAGNCCGCGUAUCAUUAGNUUGUUGGUAUGGUAAAGGGGUACAAGGCGACGAUGGUUAGCUGGUCCGAGAGGAUGAUCAGNCACACUGGAACUGGAACACGGUCCAGACUCCUACGGGAGGCAGCAGUGAGGAAUUUUGCGCAAUGAGGGAAACCUUGACGCAGCAACGCCGCGUGAGUGAUGAAGGCUUUCGGGUCGUAAAGCUCUGUCAAGUGGGAAGAAAUCCCGGGAAGUGAACAGUUUUUCGGGUUGACGGUACCACUGAAGGAAGCACCGGCUAACUCCGUGCCAGCAGCCGCGGUAAUACGGAGGGUGCGAGCGUUAUUCGGAAUUACUGGGCGUAAAGGGCGCGCAGGCGGUCAUGUAAGUCAGAUGUGAAAGCCCGGGGCUUAACCCUGGAAGUGCAUUUGAAACUGUGUGACUUGAGUAUGGGAGAGGGAAGCGGAAUUCCUGGUGUAGCGGUGAAAUGCGUAGAUCUCAGGAGGAACACCCGUGGCGAAGGCGGCUUCCUGGACCAAUACUGACGCUGAGGCGCGAAGGCGUGGGGAGCAAACCAGGAUUAGAUACCCUGGUAGUCCA
rnacentral:rRNA from 1 species